rnacentral:rRNA from 1 species
AGUGAACGCUGGCGGUAGGCCUAACACAUGCAAGUCGAACGGCAGCACAGUAAGAGCUUGCUCUUACGGGUGGCGAGUGGCGGACGGGUGAGGAAUACAUCGGAAUCUACUUUUUCGUGGGGGAUAACGUAGGGAAACUUACGCUAAUACCGCAUACGACCUACGGGUGAAAGCAGGGGAUCUUCGGACCUUUCGCGAUUGAAUGAGCCGAUGUCGGAUUAGCUAGUUGGCGGGGUAAAGGCCCACCAAGGCGACGAUCCGUAGCUGGUCUGAGAGGAUGAUCACCAACACUGGAACGGAGACACGGUCCAGACUCCUACGGGAGGCAGACGUCGGGAAUAUUGGACAAUGGGCGCAAUCCUGAUCCAUCCAUACCGCGUGGGUGAAGAAGGCCUUCGGGUUGUAAAGCCCUUUUGUUGGGAAAGAAAAGCAGCAGGUUAAUCCCCCGCUGUUCUGACGGUACCCAAAGAAUAAGCACCGGCUAACUUCGUG